CCUACGGGGCGCAGCAGUGGGGAAUAUUGCACAAUGGGGGAAACCCUGAUGCAGCGACGCCGCGUGAGUGAAGAAGUCAUUCGUUAUGUAAAGCUCUAUCUGCAGGGAAGAAAAUGACGGUACCUGAGUAAGAAGCCCCGGCUAACUACGUGCCAGCAGCCGCGGUAAUACGUAGGGGGCAAGCGUUAUACGGAUUUACUGGGUGUAAAGGGAGCGUAGACGGCAGUGCAAGUCUGGAGUGAAAGGCGGGGGCUCAACCCCCGGACUGCUCUGGAAACUGUACGGCUGGAGUGCAGGAGAGGUAAGUGGAAUUCCUAGUGUAGCGGUGAAAUGCGGAGAUAUUAGGAGGAACACCAGUGGCGAAGGCGGCUUACUGAACUGUAACUGACGUUGAGGCUCGAAAGCGUGGGGAGCAAACAGGAUUAGAUACCCGAGUAGUC
rnacentral:rRNA from 1 species